GACGAACGCUGGCGGCAGGCCUAACACAUGCAAGUCGAACGCCGUAGCAAUACGGAGUGGCAGACGGGUGAGUAACGCGUGGGAACAUACCCUCCGGUUCGGAAUAACUCAGGGAAACUUGAGCUAAUACCGGAUACGUCCAAGGUUUUAAUCGGCCUCGGAGAAAGAUUUAUCGCUGGAGGAUUGGCCCGCGUCUGAUUAGCUUGUUGGUGAGGUAAUGGCUCACCAAGGCGACGAUCAGUAGCUGGUCUGAGAGGAUGAUCAGCCACAUUGGGACUGAGACACGGCCCAAACUCCUACGGGAGGCAGCAGUGGGGAAUAUUGGACAAUGGGCGAAAAGCCUGAUCCAGCCAUGCCGCGUGAGUGAUGAAGGCCUUAGGGUUGUAAAGCUCUUUUACCCGGGAAGAUAAUGACGGUACCGGGAGAAUAAGCCCCGGGCUAACUUCGUGCCAGCAGCCGCGGUAAU
rnacentral:rRNA from 1 species